AUAAGUUACAAAGGGCGUACAGUGGAUGCCUAGGCACCGAAAGACGAAGAAGGACGCGACUACCUGCGAAAAGCUGUGGCGAGUUGGACGUAAACUUUGACCCGCAGAUGUCCGAAUGGGGAAACCCGAUAUGCUAACUACAUAUCAUACGAGCGGUGAAUACAUAGCCGCCGUAAGGCAACCCAGGGAAUUGAAACAUCUUAGUACCUGGAGGAAAAGAAAGAGAAUCGAUUCCGUCAGUAGCGGCGAGCGAAAGCGGAAGAGCCCAAACCAAGAAAUUGGGGUUCGGGGUUACAAAGAAUCAUGACGAAGAAGAAGAAGUGUUUGGAAUGGCACAUCUAAGAGGGUGAAAAUCCCGUAUUCGUAAGAGAGUCAUGGUCGUAACUACCAGAGUAGGGCGGGGCACGUGAAACCCUGUCUGAAUGAGCGGAGACCACUCCGUAAGGCUAAAUACUCUUCGGUGACCGAUAGUGAACCAGUACCGUGAGGGAAAGGUGAAAAGAACCCCGGGAGGGGAGUGAAAAGAAUCUGAAACUGUAUGCUUACAAGAUGUCAGAGACCGUUAAAGGUUGAUGACGUGCCUAUUGAAGAAUGAGCCGGCGAGUUAUGUAUACAUGCGAGGUUAAGGAGAAGAUCCGGAGCCGUAGCGAAAGCGAGUCUGAAUAGGGCGUUCAGUAUGUGUAUGUAGACCCGAAACCCGACGAUCUAGCCAUGAUCAAGAUGAAGUAAGGGUCAAACCUUAUGGAGGUCUGAACCGACGUUCGUUGAAACGACCGCGGAUGAAUUGUGGCUCGUGGUGAAAUUCCAAUCGAGUCGGGUAAUAGCUGGUUCUCCUCGAAAUAGCUUUAGGGCUAGCCUCAGAACACUACAUUUUGGAGGUAGAGCACUGAAUGAAAGCGAGCCGCGCCAAGCGGUAUCAAUUUCAAUCAAACUCCGAAUUCCGAGAUGCUUAUUCUGGGAGUCAGACUGUGGGAGAUAAGUUUCAUGGUCAAAAGGGCAACAGCCCGGACCGCCAACUAAGGUCCCUAAAUUCGCGCUAAGUGUUAAAGGAUGUAGAGAUACUUAAACAGCUAGGAUGUUGGCUCAGAGGCAGCCAUCAUUUAAAGAAUGCGUAACAGCUCACUAGUCAAGUGUCUCCGCGCCGAAAAUUUACCGGGGCUAAGCGCGAUACCGAAGUUGCGGAUAUUUCUAAAGAAAUGUGGUAGGGGAGCGUUCCAUUAGCAUAGAAGCCAUACCGGAAGGAGUGGUGGAGCGAAUGGAAGUGAGAAUGCCGGCGUAAGUAACGAUAAGAGGUGAGAAUCCUCUUCACCAUUUGACUAAGGUUUCCUGGGCUAGGUUCGUCCACCCAGGGUCAGUCGGGACCUAAGACGAGGCCGAAAGGCGUAGCCGAUGGACAACAGGUUGAUAUUCCUGUACCACCUCCUCACCAUUUGAGCAAUGGGGGGACGCAGGAGGAUAGGGUAAGCGCGGUAUUGGAUAUCCGCGUCCAAGCAGUUAGGCUGGGAAAUAGGCAAAUCCGUUUCCCGUAAGGCUGAGCUGUGAUGGCGAGCGAAAUAUAGUAGCGAAGUUCCUGAUUCCACACUGCCAAGAAAAGCCUCUAGCGAGGUGAGAGGUGCCCGUACCGCAAACCGACACAGGUAGGCGAGGAGAGAAUCCUAAGGUGAUCGAGAGAACUCUCGUUAAGGAACUCGGCAAAAUGACCCCGUAACUUCGGGAGAAGGGGUGCUCUGUUAGGGUGCAAGCCCGAGAGAGCCGCAGUGAAUAGGCCCAGGCGACUGUUUAGCAAAAACACAGGUCUCUGCGAAGCCGUAAGGCGAAGUAUAGGGGCUGACGCCUGCCCGGUGCUGGAAGGUUAAGAGGAGCGCUUAGCGUAAGCGAAGGUGCGAAUUGAAGCCCCAGUAAACGGCGGCCGUAACUAUAACGGUCCUAAGGUAGCGAAAUUCCUUGUCGGGUAAGUUCC
rnacentral:rRNA from 1 species